rnacentral:rRNA from 1 species
GAUGAACGCUGGCGGCGUGCCUAAUACAUGCAAGUCGAGCGAACAGACGAGGAGCUUGCUCCUCUGACGUUAGCGGCGGACGGGUGAGUAACACGUGGAUAACCUACCUAUAAGACUGGGAUAACUUCGGGAAACCGGAGCUAAUACCGGAUAAUAUAUUGAACCGCAUGGCUCAAUAGUGAAAGACGGUUUUGCUGUCACUUAUAGAUGGAUCCGCGCCGCAUUAGCUAGUUGGUAAGGUAACGGCUUACCAAGGCGACGAUGCGUAGCCGACCUGAGAGGGUGAUCGGCCACACUGGAACUGAGACACGGUCCAGACUCCUACGGGAGGCAGCAGUAGGGUAUCUUCCGCAAUGGGCGAAAGCCUGACGGAGCAACGCUGCGUGAGUGAUGAAGGUCUUCGGAUCGUAAAACUCUGUUAUUAGGGAAGAACAAAUGUGUAAGUAACUAUGCACGUCUUGACGGUACCUAAUCAGAAAGCCACGGCUAACUACGUG